rnacentral:rRNA from 1 species
AUUGAACGCUGGUGGCAUGCCUUACACAUGCAAGUCGAACGGUAACGGGCCUUCGGGUGCCGACGAGUGGCGAACGGGUGAGUAAUGCAUCGGAACGUACCCGGUAGUGGGGGAUAACUACCCGAAAGGGUGGCUAAUACCGCAUAUACUGUGCGCAGGAAAGCAGGGGACCUUCGGGCCUUGUGCUACCGGAGCGGCCGAUGUCAGAUUAGGUAGUUGGUGGGGUAACGGCCUACCAAGCCUGCGAUCUGUAGCGGGUCUGAGAGGAUGAUCCGCCACACUGGGACUGAGACACGGCCCAGACUCCUACGGGAGGCAGCAGUGGGGAAUUUUGGACAAUGGGCGCAAGCCUGAUCCAGCCAUGCCGCGUGAGUGAAGAAGGCCUUCGGGUUGUAAAGCUCUUUCGGACGGAAAGAAAUCGCGCAGGCUAAUACCCUGCGCGGAUGACGGUACCGUCAUAAGAAGCACCGGCUAACUACGUGCCAGCCGCCGCCGUAACAC